rnacentral:tRNA from 1 species
UUGGUUAAAGCCAAAACAGAGGCAUAUCACUGUUAAUGAUAGAAGUGGGAACUUAUCUCUAACCAAG